UACAGAGGGUGCAAGCGUUAAUCGGAAUUACUGGGCGUAAAGGGUGUGUAGGUGGUUGGAUAAGUUAGAUGUGAAAUCCCCGGGCUUAACCUGGGAACUGCGUUUAAAACUGUUUGACUAGAGUGCUGUAGAGGAUAGUGGAAUUUCCAGUGUAGCGGUGAAAUGCGUAGAUAUUGGAAGGAACACCAGUGGCGAAGGCGGCUAUCUGGACAGACACUGACACUGAGACACGAAAGCGUGGGGAGCAAACAGG
rnacentral:rRNA from 1 species